AUUUUUCUAAUAUAUAAAGUAUAAUUGGCCUCCAACCAGUCUGUCUGGUUUAUCCAGGAAAAGUA
rnacentral:tRNA from 1 species